rnacentral:rRNA from 1 species
UACGUAGGGGGCAAGCGUUGUCCGGAAUCAUUGGGCGUAAAGAGCGUGUAGGCGGCCCGAUAAGUCCGCCGUGAAAGUCCAGGGCUCAACCCUGGGAUGCCGGUGGAAACUGUCGGGCUAGAGUCCGGAAGAGGCGAGUGGAAUUCCUGGUGUAGCGGUGAAAUGCGCAGAUAUCAGGAGGAACACCAAUGGCGAGGGCAGCUCGCUGGGACGGUACUGACGCUGAGACGCGAAAGCGUGGGGAGCAAACAGG